rnacentral:lncRNA from 1 species
AAAGAAAGUAAUAAAUAAUAUUAUAUAACGCUCACCAAUACACUAAACAUAUAUAGAAUAUUAAAUACGUAUUUAGAAUAUUCGGAUUGGUACGAAUGAACUGUCAUGCGCAUGUACGCAUCUCGCUAUUUUGCACGCCAGUGCACGCGUCUGCACGCGCAACGCCGUAACAUGAUGAUAUGCGCGAGUUAUAUUAAAAGCAAGAGAGGAAGAAACACUAUUUGAGCGUAAAGUAGAAGAGUAGACGAGUAAGGAAAGAGAGAUCAACCUCACAGCUUGGAAUUUACAGUGUGCCGAACAGAAUAUGUGGACCUUGAAGCUCAGCGAACCAUUAUAUGUAUAGAGAAUUGACAGAGCAAUUCAUAUCAAAAGGAUUAUCUAAAGGUGUACUUCCUAGUUCUUCAAGUAUGUUAUUUUAUGGCAUUAUCUUAUGGCAGGCUAGGUAAGAGAAUAAUGACAAAUGUUAUAAUUUUAUUUUAAUAUUGUAUUGCAACUGUGUGGCUCUUAAAGGUAUCGUACAACCAUCUUUUUUAGAUUACUGAAAUAAACAAAAAGCGUGAAAUCUGAUCUGAAACAAUUACAACAAAGUAUACAGACUAAAUAUCACUCAACUAACCUGCCGAUGAUGUGGUCACAGG